UACGAAGGGGGCUAGCGUUGCUCGGAAUCACUGGGCGUAAAGCGCACGUAGGCGGAUUGUUAAGUCAGGGGUGAAAUCCUGGAGCUCAACUCCAGAACUGCCUUUGAUACUGGCGAUCUUGAGUCCGGGAGAGGUGAGUGGAACUCCGAGUGUAGAGGUGAAAUUCGUAGAUAUUCGGAAGAACACCAGUGGCGAAGGCGGCUCACUGGCCCGGUACUGACGCUGAGGUGCGAAAGCAUGGGGAGCGAACAGG
rnacentral:rRNA from 1 species